GUGCUCGCUUUGUCGGCAUAUACACUAAAAUUGGAAAGAUACAAUGAAGAUUAGCGUGGCCCCUGCACAAGUGUGACAUGCAAAUUCGUGAAGCAUUCUACAUUUAA